rnacentral:rRNA from 1 species
UACAGAGGGUGCAAGCGUUGUUCGGAAUUAUUGGGCGUAAAGCGCGUGUAGGCGGCCAAGCAAGUUGGGUGUGAAAGCCCUCGGCUUAACCGAGGAAGUGCGCCCAAAACUACUUGGCUUGAGUACCGGAGAGGAUGGCGGAAUUCCCGGUGUAGAGGUGAAAUUCGUAGAUAUCGGGAGGAACACCAGUGGCGAAGGCGGCCAUCUGGACGGAUACUGACGCUGAGACGCGAAAGCGUGGGGAGCAAACAGG